rnacentral:rRNA from 1 species
UGGGGAAUCUUGGACAAUGGGGGCAACCCUGAUCCAGCGACGCCGCGUGAGUGAUGAAGGCCUUCGGGUCGUAAAGCUCUGUUGGGAGGGACGAUGGGUGACCGGGAAUAAUACCCCGAGCAUCUGACGGUACCUCGCGAGAAAGCACCGGCUAACUCUGUGCCAGCAGCCGCGGUAAUACAGAGGGUGCAAGCGUUGUUCGGAAUCACUGGGCGUAAAGCGCGUGUAGGCGGUUUUCUAAGUCAGGUGUGAAAUCCCCCGGCUUAACCGGGGAAGUGCGCCUGAAACUGGGAGGCUUGAGUAUCGGAGAGGAAAGGGGAAUUCCCGGUGUAGAGGUGAAAUUCGUAGAUAUCGGGAGGAACACCGGCGGCGAAGGCGCCUUUCUGGUCGAUCACUGACGCUGAGACGCGAAAGCGUGGGGAGCAAACAGGAUUAGAUACCCCCGUAGUCC